rnacentral:snRNA from 1 species
UACAUGCAGGGUUAUGUGUGUAA